GAACUAAAAUUGGGUCCUCUACAAGAAUAGCCAGUGCUCUUAACUGCUGAGCUAUCACUUGCACCCUCCUUUUAUCUUCUCAGUCUAUCUAUCAAAAUAAGGAUCAUGUCCAUGGACUUACAAUGAGCGGAGAAAGGACCUCUCCUCUACCCUCUCAUUUAUCUCUGUGGGGGGAAGAAUGAUCUCUUUGUGUAUUCCCAAGUUCGUGAGGUCAUGAACAGACUUCUGUUAAAAGGCAGAUACAUAAGAGAAAAGCACCAAAUUCAUGGAGGGGAAGAAUUCAUAAGGAAAUGAAGACCUAAAGAAAUGGAAAACAGAAGCCAUAACAAAGAAAAUUCUGGAUGAAGGGAGCUUUCUCAAUGAAAAGUGGGAAGAUUCAAACAUUCUCCACGUGCCCUUAAUUUUGUGCGGUUAAAAUACCGCAGUAGUAACGAUGCAUCUGUCGCUGGAUUAGAGGAAAGAGCUUGUGUACAUUUGUUAAACAACCCGGCACGUUCCUGGCUU